CCAGACUCCUACGGGAGGCAGCAGUGAGGAAUAUUGGUCAAUGGGCGAGAGCCUGAACCAGCCAAGUCGCGUGAAGGAUGACGGCCCUACGGGUUGUAAACUUCUUUUGUCAGGGAGCAAUUGGGUCCACGUGUGGGCUUAGCGAGAGUACCUGAAGAAAAAGCAUCGGCUAACUCCGUGCCAGCAGCCGCGGUAAUACGGAGGAUGCGAGCGUUAUCCGGAUUUAUUGGGUUUAAAGGGUGCGUAGGCGGAUCGUUAAGUCAGUGGUCAAAUUGAGGGGCUCAACCCCAUCCAGCCGUUGAAACUGGCAGUCUCGAGUUGGAGAGAAGUAUGCGGAAUGCGCGGUGUAGCGGUGAAAUGCAUAGAUAUCGCGCAGAACUCCGAUUGCGAAGGCAGCAUGCCGGCUCCACACUGACGCUGAGGCACGAAAGCGUGGGUAUCGAACAGGAUUAGAUACCCUCGUA
rnacentral:rRNA from 1 species